GGCCUAACACAUGCAAGUCGAGCGGAAACGACACUAACAAUCCUUCGGGUGCGUUAAUGGGCGUCGAGCGGCGGACGGGUGAGUAAUGCCUAGGAAAUUGCCUUGAUGUGGGGGAUAACCAUUGGAAACGAUGGCUAAUACCGCAUAAUGCCUACGGGCCAAAGAGGGGGACCUUCGGGCCUCUCGCGUCAAGAUAUGCCUAGGUGGGAUUAGCUAGUUGGUGAGGUAAUGGCUCACCAAGGCGACGAUCCCUAGCUGGUCUGAGAGGAUGAUCAGCCACACUGGAACUGAGACACGGUCCAGACUCCUACGGGAGGCAGCAGUGGGGAAUAUUGCACAAUGGGCGAAAGCCUGAUGCAGCCAUGCCGCGUGUAUGAAGAAGGCCUUCGGGUUGUAAAGUACUUUCAGUUGUGAGGAAGGGGGUAGCGUUAAUAGCGCUAUCUCUUGACGUUAGCAACAGAAGAAGCACCGGCUAACUCCGUGCCAGCAGCCGCGGUAAUACGGAGGGUGCGAGCGUUAAUCGGAAUUACUGGGCGUAAAGCGCAUGCAGGUGGUUCAUUAAGUCAGAUGUGAAAGCCCGGGGCUCAACCUCGGAACUGCAUUUGAAACUGGUGAACUAGAGUACUGUAGAGGGGGGUAGAAUUUCAGGUGUAGCGGUGAAAUGCGUAGAGAUCUGAAGGAAUACCAGUGGCGAAGGCGGCCCCCUGGACAGAUACUGACACUCAGAUGCGAAAGCGUGGGGAGCAAACAGGAUUAG
rnacentral:rRNA from 1 species